rnacentral:rRNA from 1 species
GUCUAUGGCCGUGCCACCUUGAACAUGUCCAAUCUCAUCUGAUCUCAGAAGCUAAGCAGGGUUGGACAUGGUUAGUACUUGGGUGGGAGACCACCUAGGAAUACUAGGUGCUGUAGGCA